rnacentral:misc_RNA from 1 species
CUUCUCUAAAUUAUUAUAAAUGUUACGUUAAAACCCUUGGAACUAUUUUAUGUUAGUUCUAUGCCCAUUAAAGGGCUAUUUCACAUUUUACUCUGGUUUCCUUCCACGAUAUAAUGGUAAUGGUAUUCGUGGUACGGUCUGGUUAUCGGAGGGCUCUGCCAACUUGUGGAAUAUCCCAUUACCACGGCCACAAGGCCUUUUGUACAUUAGUGGUUUUAUUACCACUCUGGUUGCUCACAUAGCUAGUCUAAGUGUGUCAACUGUAGACGCCUUCGGGAAGAAGUCUACGUAUUUACAACUCCAUGUGGUGGAUCACUCGGUUCACGUAUCGAUGAAGAGUGCAGCAAACUGUGUUAAUCAAUGUGAAACGCAGACUGCUUCGAUCAUCGGAAUCUCGAACGCAUAUUGCGGCUUUGGGCUUGCCCUUAGCCACGUUCGAUCAAGUGUCGGCUUUCAUUUAUCAUGACGCUUAAUUUGUCAUGGAUUGGGAAGUAUACCAUGGUCACAUGAUUUCCUUUGUGAGUGACUCUAGUGGUUCUUCCUUAAUAAUAAGGCCCAGUUAUAUGGUUUUUAUCAAACUACAAGCUUUACCAGAGUGUGUGGCUUAAUUUAGUAACGCUGUGCUGGUUCGCUGUGUAGUCAUAUAACUUCCUUCUUUAUUAAUUCCUGACCUUGAUUC